UACGUAGGGUGCAAGCGUUACUCGGAAUUAUUGGGCGUAAAGCGCAUGUAGGUGGCUUUGUAAGUCUGAUGUGAAAUCCCUGGACUCAAUUCAGGAACUGCAUUGGAUACUGCAAGGCUAGAGUAUGGGAGAGGUAGGCGGAAUUCCUGGUGUAGAGGUGAAAUGCGCAGAUAUCGGGAAGAACACCCGUGGCGAAGGCGGCACUCUGGGACGGUACUGACGCUGAGACGCGAAAGCGUGGGGAGCGAACAGG
rnacentral:rRNA from 1 species